rnacentral:rRNA from 1 species
UACGUAGGUGGCGAGCGUUGUCCGGAAUUACUGGGCGUAAAGGGUGCGUAGGCGGUAAGAUAAGUCAGAUGUGAAAUUCCGGGGCUUAACCUCGGAAUUGCAUUUGAAACUGUGUUACUAGAGUGCAGGAGAGGAAAGCGGAAUUCCUAGUGUAGCGGUGAAAUGCGUAGAUAUUAGGAAGAACACCAGUGGCGAAGGCGGCUUUCUGGACUGUAACUGACGCUGAUGCACGAAAGCGUGGGGAGCAAAC